UAGAAAUAUCAUUCGUAUGACAUCCGUUGAUCAUUUAAAAACAGUUUUUUUCCUAAAAUAUUCAGUAUUUAUAAUUAAGAUAUGAAAAUGCACCUUAAGAUUCACUAUACAGUGCUACAUAUCAAGGUAUAAAAAUAUUAGAAAUAUGUUAAAACGAUUUUGUAUUAAAAUAAAUUCAAUAUUCUGAUUUUGACAAUCCACCAGAUAUAAAAUUUGGAAAAAAACACUUUACAUUUUAUAAUUUUUGAUAUAUAUAAUGACGGAAUGAAAAUUGAAUAAGAUGUCUACUGUAUAUACAUCAUUAAGUUUCUAUAUUAACAAUGGUACUGACAAUACAUUUUUUUACAUUUUCAGUUAAAAAUAUCUAUAAUGAAUUCAUCAUUGGACCGACAGAUGGUGUGAAUUUUUGCUUGGAAUCAUUUAAAGGCUUAAUUAACUACAUGGCUACCUUGAUUUAGUAAAUGUCUAUAAGACACCACCUCUCAAGAAAUCUGUCUAAGAACUUCAAUACUUAGUUUUUCAGAAUCACCUGGGCUGAGUGACUUUUGUUUACAUGGUUGAACAAUGGAAAAAUGUAAAUUAAAUUAUAAUAAUGAAUGAUAUAAUAAUACAUAGAAAUAUCAUUCGUAUGACAUCCGUUGAUCAUUUAAAAACAGUUUUUUUCCUAAAAUAUUCAGUAUUUAUAAUGAAGAUAUGAAAAUCCACCUUAAGAUUCACUAUACAGUGCUACAUAUCAAGUUAAAAAUAUCUGUAAGGAAUUCAUCGUUGGACCGACAGAUGGUGUGAAUGUUUGCUUGGAAUCAUUUAAAGGCUUAAUUAACUACAUGGCUACCUUGAUUUAGUAAAUGUCUAUAAGACACCACCUCUCAAGAAAUCUGUCUAAGAGCUUCAAUACUUGGUUUUUCAGAAUCACCUGGGCUGAGUGACUAUUGUCUACAUGGUUGAACGAUGGAAAAAUGUAAAUUAAAUUAUAAUAAUCAAUGAUAUAUUAAUACAUAGAAAUAUCAUUCGUAUGACAUCCGUUGAUCAUUUAAAAACAGUUUUUUUCCUAAAAUAUUCAGUAUUUAUAAUUAAGAUAUGAAAAUCCACCUUAAGAUUCACUAUACAGUGCUACAUAUCAAGUUAAAAAUAUCUGUAAGGAAUUCAUCGUUGGACCGACAGAUGGUGUGAAUGUUUGCUUGGAAUCAUUUAAAGGCUUAAUUAACUACAUGGCUACCUUGAUUUAGUAAAUGUCUAUAAGACACCACCUCUCAAGAAAUCUGUCCAAGAGCUUCAAUACAUGGUUUUUCAGAAUCACCUGGGCUGAGUGACUAUUGUCUACAUGGUUGAACGAUGGAAAAAUGUAAAUUAAAUUAUAAUAAUCAAUGAUAUAUUAAUACAUAGAAAUAUCAUUCGUAUGACAUCCGUUGAUUAUUUAAAAACAGUUUUUUUCCUAAAAUAUUCAGUAUUUAUAAUUAAGAUAUGAAAAUCCACCUUAAGAUUCACUAUACAGUGCUACAUAUCAAGGUAUAAAAAUAUUAGAAAUAAGUUAAAACGAUUUUGUAUUAAAAUAAAUUCAAUAUUCUGAUUUUGACAAUCCACCAGAUAUAAAAUUUGGAAAAAAAACACUUUACAUUUUAUAAUAUUUGAUAUUUAUAAUGACGGAAUGAAAAUUGAAUAAGAUGUCUACUGUAUAUACAUUAUUAACUUUCUAUAUUAACAAUGGUACUGACAAUACAUUUUUUUUUAUUUUCAGUUAAAAAUAUCUAUAAUGAAUUCAUCAUUGGACCGACAGAUUGUGUGAAUGUUUGCUUGGAAUCAUUUAAAGGCUUAAUUAACUACAUGGCUACCUUGAUUUAGUAAAUGUCUAUAAGGCGAGAUGAAUCAAUUGUCUGAGAAACUAUUUUUUUAAAUUAAUAUCCAUAAAUUGAUUUUUUUAGUUUAAUAAUUUCAUUUUUUCCCUAAAAUUAUAUUUUUCAGAUACCACCUCUCAAGAAAUCUGUCCAAGAACUUCAAUACUUGGUUUUUCAAAAUCACCUGGGCUGAGUGACUAUUGUCUACAUGGUUGAACGAUGGAAAAAUUUAAAAAUAUCUAUAAUGAAUUCAUCGUUGGACCGACAGAUGGUGUGAAUGUUUGCUUGGAAUCAUUUAAAGGCUUAAUUAACUACAUGGCUACCUUGAUUUAGUAAAUGUCUAUAAGACACCACCUCUCAAGAAAUCUGUCCAAGAGCUUCAAUACAUUGUUUUUCAGAAUCACCUGGGCUGAGUGACUAUUGUCUACAUGGUUGAACGAUGGAAAAAUUUAAAAAUAUCUAUAAUGAAUUCAUCGUUGGACCGACAGAUGGUGUGAAUGUUUGCUUGGAAUCAUUUAAAGGCUUAAUUAACUACAUGGCUACCUUGAGCUAGUAAAUGUCUAUAAGACACCACCUCUCAAGAAAUCUGUCCAAGAGCUUCAAUACUUGGUUCUUCAGAAUCACCUGGGCUGAGUGACUAUUGUCUACAUGGUUGAACAAUGGAAAAAUGUAAAUUAAAUUAUAAUAUUCGAUGAUAUAUUAAUACAUAGAAAUAUCAUUCGUAUGACAUCCGUUUAUCAUUUAAAAACAGUUUUUUUCCUAAAAUAUUCAGUAUUUAUAAUGAAGAUAUGAAAAUCCACCUUAAGAUUCACUAUACAGUGCUACAUAUCAAGUUAAAAAUAUCUAUAAUGAAUUCAUCGUUGGACCGACAGAUGGUGUGAAUGUUUGCUUGGAAUCAUUUAAAGGCUUAAUUAACUACAUGGCUACUUUGAUUUAGUAAAUGUCUAUAAGGUGAGAUGAAUCAAUUGUCUGAGGAACUAUUUUUUAAAUUAAUAUCCAUAAAUUGAUUUUUUUAGUUUAAUAAUUUCAUUUUUUCCCUAAAAUUAUAUUUUUCAGAAACCACCUCUUAAGAAAUCUGUCCAAGAGCUUCAAUACUUGGUUUUUCAGAAUCACCUGGGCUGAGUGACUAUUGUCUACAUGGUUGAACGAUGGAAAAAUGUAAAUUAAAUUAUAAUAAUCAAUGAUAUA